GAACGCUAGCUACAGGCUUAACACAUGCAAGUCGAGGGGCAGCAUGGUCUUAGCUUGCUAAGGCCGAUGGCGACCGGCGCACGGGUGAGUAACGCGUAUCCAACCUGCCUUACACUCUUGGACAGCCUUCUGAAAGGGAGAUUAAUACAAGAUGUUAUCAUGAGUAAGCAUUUUCGCAUGAUUAAAGGUUUACCGGUGUAAGAUGGGGAUGCGUUCCAUUAGAUAGUAGGCGGGGUAACGGCCCACCUAGUCUUCGAUGGAUAGGGGUUCUGAGAGGAAGGUCCCCCACAUUGGAACUGAGACACGGUCCAAACUCCUACGGGAGGCAGCAGUGAGGAAUAUUGGUCAAUGGACGAGAGUCUGAACCAGCCAAGUAGCGUGAAGGAUGAAGGUUCUAUGGAUUGUAAACUUCUUUUAUACGGGAAUAAACGGAUCCACGUGUGGAUUUUUGCAUGUACCGUAUGAAUAAGGAUCGGCUAACUCCGUGCCAGCAGCCGCGGUAAUACGGAGGAUCCGAGCGUUAUCCGGAUUUAUUGGGUUUAAAGGGAGCGUAGAUGGGUUGUUAAGUCAGUUGUGAAAGUUUGCGGCUCAACCGUAAAAUUGCAAUUGAUACUGGCAGUCUUGAGUACAGUUGAGGUGGGCGGAAUUCGUGGUGUAGCGGUGAAAUGCUUAGAUAUCACGAAGAACUCCGAUUGCGAAGGCAGCUUACUAACCUGUAACUGACAUUGAUGCUCGAAAGUGUGGGUAUCAAACAGGAUUAGAUACCCUGGUAGUCCACACGGUAAACGAUGAAUACUCGCUGUAGGCGAUAUACAGUCUGCGGCCAAGCGAAAGCAUUAAGUAUUCCACCUGGGGAGUACGCCGGCAACGGUGAAACUCAAAGGAAUUGACGGGGGCCCGCACAAGCGGAGGAACAUGUGGUUUAAUUCGAUGAUACGCGAGGAACCUUACCCGGGCUUAAAUUGCAACCGAAUAUGGCGGAAACGCUAUAGCUAGCAAUAGCGGUUGUGAAGGUGCUGCAUGGUUGUCGUCAGCUCGUGCCGUGAGGUGUCGGCUUAAGUGCCAUAACGAGCGCAACCCUUGCCGAUAGUUACUAACAGGUCAUGCUGAGGACUCUGUCGGGACUGCCAUCGUAAGAUGUGAGGAAGGUGGGGAUGACGUCAAAUCAGCACGGCCCUUACGUCCGGGGCUACACACGUGUUACAAUGGGGGGUACAGAGGGCUGCUACCACGCAAGUGGAUGCCAAUCCCAAAAACCUCUCUCAGUUCGGAUUGAAGUCUGCAACCCGACUUCAUGAAGCUGGAUUCGCUAGUAAUCGCGCAUCAGCCACGGCGCGGUGAAUACGUUCCCGGGCCUUGUACACACCGCCCGUCAAGCCAUGGGAGCCGGGGGUACCUGAAGUGCGUAACCGCAAGGAGCGCCCUAGGGUAAAACUGG
rnacentral:rRNA from 1 species